rnacentral:tRNA from 1 species
GUUAAGAUGGCAGAGCCCGGACACUGCAAGGGGCCUAAACCCCCUUUACAGGGGUUCAAAUCCCCUUCUUAACC